GGUUAAGCGACUAAGCGUACACGGUGGAUGCCCUGGCAGUCAGAGGCGAUGAAGGACGUGCUAAUCUGCGAUAAGCGUCGGUAAGGUGAUAUGAACCGUUAUAACCGGCGAUUUCCGAAUGGGGAAACCCAGUGUGUUUCGACACACUAUCAUUAACUGAAUCCAUAGGUUAAUGAGGCGAACCGGGGGAACUGAAACAUCUAAGUACCCCGAGGAAAAGAAAUCAACCGAGAUUCCCCCAGUAGCGGCGAGCGAACGGGGAGCAGCCCAGAGCCUGAAUCAGUGUGUGUGUUAGUGGAAGCGUCUGGAAAGGCGCGCGAUACAGGGUGACAGCCCCGUACACAAAAAUGCACAUACUGUGAGCUCGAUGAGUAGGGCGGGACACGUGGUAUCCUGUCUGAAUAUGGGGGGACCAUCCUCCAAGGCUAAAUACUCCUGACUGACCGAUAGUGAACCAGUACCGUGAGGGAAAGGCGAAAAGAACCCCGGCGAGGGGAGUGAAAAAGAACCUGAAACCGUGUACGUACAAGCAGUGGGAGCACGCUUAGGCGUGUGACUGCGUACCUUUUGUAUAAUGGGUCAGCGACUUAUAUUCUGUAGCAAGGUUAACCGAAUAGGGGAGCCGAAGGGAAACCGAGUCUUAACUGGGCGUUAAGUUGCAGGGUAUAGACCCGAAACCCGGUGAUCUAGCCAUGGGCAGGUUGAAGGUUGGGUAACACUAACUGGAGGACCGAACCGACUAAUGUUGAAAAAUUAGCGGAUGACUUGUGGCUGGGGGUGAAAGGCCAAUCAAACCGGGAGAUAGCUGGUUCUCCCCGAAAGCUAUUUAGGUAGCGCCUCGUGAAUUCAUCUCCGGGGGUAGAGCACUGUUUCGGCAAGGGGGUCAUCCCGACUUACCAACCCGAUGCAAACUGCGAAUACCGGAGAAUGUUAUCACGGGAGACACACGGCGGGUGCUAACGUCCGUCGUGAAGAGGGAAACAACCCAGACCGCCAGCUAAGGUCCCAAAGUCAUGGUUAAGUGGGAAACGAUGUGGGAAGGCCCAGACAGCCAGGAUGUUGGCUUAGAAGCAGCCAUCAUUUAAAGAAAGCGUAAUAGCUCACUGGUCGAGUCGGCCUGCGCGGAAGAUGUAACGGGGCUAAACCAUGCACCGAAGCUGCGGCAGCGACGCUGAUGCGUUGUUGGGUAGGGGAGCGUUCUGUAAGCCUGUGAAGGUGUGCUGUGAGGCAUGCUGGAGGUAUCAGAAGUGCGAAUGCUGACAUAAGUAACGAUAAAGCGGGUGAAAAGCCCGCUCGCCGGAAGACCAAGGGUUCCUGUCCAACGUUAAUCGGGGCAGGGUGAGUCGACCCCUAAGGCGAGGCCGAAAGGCGUAGUCGAUGGGAAACAGGUUAAUAUUCCUGUACUUGGUGUUACUGCGAAGGGGGGACGGAGAAGGCUAUGUUGGCCGGGCGACGGUUGUCCCGGUUUAAGCGUGUAGGCUGGUUUUCCAGGCAAAUCCGGAAAAUCAAGGCUGAGGCGUGAUGACGAGGCACUACGGUGCUGAAGCAACAAAUGCCCUGCUUCCAGGAAAAGCCUCUAAGCAUCAGGUAACAUCAAAUCGUACCCCAAACCGACACAGGUGGUCAGGUAGAGAAUACCAAGGCGCUUGAGAGAACUCGGGUGAAGGAACUAGGCAAAAUGGUGCCGUAACUUCGGGAGAAGGCACGCUGAUAUGUAGGUGAAGUCCCUCGCGGAUGGAGCUGAAAUCAGUCGAAGAUACCAGCUGGCUGCAACUGUUUAUUAAAAACACAGCACUGUGCAAACACGAAAGUGGACGUAUACGGUGUGACGCCUGCCCGGUGCCGGAAGGUUAAUUGAUGGGGUCAGCGCAAGCGAAGCUCUUGAUCGAAGCCCCGGUAAACGGCGGCCGUAACUAUAACGGUCCUAAGGUAGCGAAAUUCCUUGUCGGGUAAGUUCCGACCUGCACGAAUGGCGUAAUGAUGGCCAGGCUGUCUCCACCCGAGACUCAGUGAAAUUGAACUCGCUGUGAAGAUGCAGUGUACCCGCGGCAAGACGGAAAGACCCCGUGAACCUUUACUAUAGCUUGACACUGAACAUUGAGCCUUGAUGUGUAGGAUAGGUGGGAGGCUUAGAAGUGUGGACGCCAGUCUGCAUGGAGCCGACCUUGAAAUACCACCCUUUAAUGUUUGAUGUUCUAACGUUGACCCGUAAUCCGGGUUGCGGACAGUGUCUGGUGGGUAGUUUGACUGGGGCGGUCUCCUCCUAAAGAGUAACGGAGGAGCACGAAGGUUGGCUAAUCCUGGUCGGACAUCAGGAGGUUAGUGCAAUGGCAUAAGCCAGCUUGACUGCGAGCGUGACGGCGCGAGCAGGUGCGAAAGCAGGUCAUAGUGAUCCGGUGGUUCUGAAUGGAAGGGCCAUCGCUCAACGGAUAAAAGGUACUCCGGGGAUAACAGGCUGAUACCGCCCAAGAGUUCAUAUCGACGGCGGUGUUUGGCACCUCGAUGUCGGCUCAUCACAUCCUGGGGCUGAAGUAGGUCCCAAGGGUAUGGCUGUUCGCCAUUUAAAGUGGUACGCGAGCUGGGUUUAGAACGUCGUGAGACAGUUCGGUCCCUAUCUGCCGUGGGCGCUGGAGAACUGAGGGGGGCUGCUCCUAGUACGAGAGGACCGGAGUGGACGCAUCACUGGUGUUCGGGUUGUCAUGCCAAUGGCACUGCCCGGUAGCUAAAUGCGGAAGAGAUAAGUGCUGAAAGCAUCUAAGCACGAAACUUGCCCCGAGAUGAGUUCUCCCUGACUCCUUGAGAGUCCUGAAGGAACGUUGAAGACGACGACGUUGAUAGGCCGGGUGUGUAAGCGCAGCGAUGCGUUGAGCUAACCGGUACUAAUGAACCGUGAGGCUUAACCUU
rnacentral:rRNA from 1 species